UACGUAGGGGGCAAGCGUUGUCCGGAAUCAUUGGGCGUAAAGAGCGUGUAGGCGGUCCGGUAAGUCGGCUGUGAAAGUCCAGGGCUCAACCCUGGGAUGCCGGUCGAUACUGCCGGACUAGAGUUCGGAAGAGGCGAGUGGAAUUCCCGGUGUAGCGGUGAAAUGCGCAGAUAUCAGGAAGAACACCUGUGGCGAAGGCGGCUCUCUGGGACGGUACUGACGCUGAGACGCGAAAGCGUGGGGAGCGAACAGG
rnacentral:rRNA from 1 species